rnacentral:snoRNA from 9 species
UUGCUGUGAUGACUAACUUAGGACACCUUUGGAACAACCGUGAAAGAAUACUAUUCUGAGCAAC